rnacentral:lncRNA from 1 species
GGAGGAAUGGAUCAAACACAAAUUGGUCAAAGGAGGACUUUUACCAAAUUAAGAUCAUUCAUUCAUUUUGGGAGAUGGAGUGUACAUUCCGUCAAUCCCCUAAAUCCAAUGAUCUUAACCUAGCAAAGUCAAAUCAACCUUGACCAAGGCCCAACAACACAAGUCAAACUCACAAAGUCAAUUAAAAUAGCUCCACACAAUUAAUUUGGCAUUUAAACAAUUAAAAAUAAUAAAAAUUUG